rnacentral:rRNA from 1 species
GAUGGUAGGAUAGUGGCCUACCAUGGUGGCAACGGGUAACGGGGAAUUAGGGUUCGAUUCCGGAGAGGGAGCCUGAGAAACGGCUACCACAUCCAAGGAAGGCAGCAGGCGCGCAAAUUACCCAAUCCCGACACGGGGAGGUAGUGACAAUAAAUACUGAUACGGGGCUCUUUUGGGUCUCGUAAUUGGAAUGAGUACAAUCUAAAUCCCUUAACGAGGAACAAUUGGAGGGCAAGUCUGGUGCCAGCAGCCGCGGUAAUUCCAGCUCCAAUAGCGUAUAUUAAAGUUGUUGCAGUUAAAAAGCUCGUAGUUGAACCUUGGGUCUGGCUGGCCGGUCCGCCUCACCGCGAGUACUGGUCCGGCUGGACCUUUCCUUCUGGGGAAUCUCAUGGCCUUCACUGGCUGUGGGGGGAACCAGGACUUUUACUGUGAAAAAAUUAGAGUGUUCAAAGCAGGCCUUUGCUCGAAUACAUUAGCAUGGAAUAAUAGAAUAGGACGUGCGGUUCUAUUUUGUUGGUUUCUAGGACCGCCGUAAUGAUUAAUAGGGAUAGUCGGGGGCGUCAGUAUUCAGCUGUCAGAGGUGAAAUUCUUGGAUUUGCUGAAGACUAACUACUGCGAAAGCAUUCGCC